rnacentral:rRNA from 1 species
AGUCUGACGGAGCAACGCCGCGUGAGUGAUGAAGGUUUUCGGAUCGUAAAACUCUGUUGUUAGGGAAGAACAAGUACCGUUCGAAUAGGGCGGUACCUUGACGGUACCUAACCAGAAAGCCACGGCUAACUACGUGCCAGCAGCCGCGGUAAUACGUAGGUGGCAAGCGUUGUCCGGAAUUAUUGGGCGUAAAGCGCGCGCAGGCGGUUUCUUAAGUCUGAUGUGAAAGCCCCCGGCUCAACCGGGGAGGGUCAUUGGAAACUGGGGAACUUGAGUGCAGAAGAGGAGAGUGGAAUUCCACGUGUAGCGGUGAAAUGCGUAGAGAUGUGGAGGAACACCAGUGGCGAAGGCGACUCUCUGGUCUGUAACUGACGCUGAGGCGCGAAAGCGUGGGGAGCGAACAGGAUUAGAUACCCUGGUAGUCCACGCCGUAAACGAUGAGUGCUAAGUGUUAGAGGGUUUCCGCCCUUUAGUGCUGCAGCAAACGCAUUAAGCACUCCGCCUGGGGAGUACG